UUUCUGGACUCUAUCUGCUCAGCAGAGGUAAGAGAUGGCCACAUAAAAGACAUUCUAUAUUUGAUACUGCACACCAAGAGGAUGCCAUUCACAUCACAGUCCAUGCCAGAUUUCUUUCUGGGCUCCUAAUAUGCUCAAAAUGGAGAAAGUUCCCAGAAUGAGCCAUAAAGUUAUUUGCAAACGUUAUCUUCUUGGAUGAGAGUCUGCUGAGGCAAUAAAUUACGUUGAUGAAGACAGUGAAGUAUGGAGGAGUAAAGACACAUUAAUGAAAGCUGACAGUAAGCCAUGUGGGUAGAUGGUUUGGGUAUUUUUAUCUUUCUCUUUUUCUUCUUGAUGAUCCAACCAAUUCAAGCAUGAUAUGUGGCAAGUUUUUCUGUUAAUGGAUUGAUAAUUAACCAAUGUUAACCUUAAAACCAGUCAGCAUAAUAAAAACACUUACAUAGUA